rnacentral:rRNA from 1 species
UAAGACGAAGGUGGCGAGCGUUGUUCGGUGUCACUGGGCUUAAAGAGUAUGUAGGCGGAAAAGUAAGCGCUUUGUGAAAGCCCCCGGCUUAACCGGGGAAUUGCUUGGCGAACUACUUUUCUUGAGGCAAGUAGGGGUGCAUGGAACUCUUGGUGGAGCGGUGGAAUGCGUAGAUAUCAAGAGGAACGCCGGCGGUGAAAACGGUGCACUGGGCUUGUCCUGACGCUGAGAUACGAAAGCGUGGGGAGCAAACGGGAUUAGAUACCCCGGUAGUCCACGCUGUAAACGAUGUCUACUAGGUUGCGGCGGUUCUGACAUCGGCGCGACCGAAGCAAAAGUGUUAAGUAGACCGCCUGGGGAGUACGGCCGCAAGGCUA